rnacentral:rRNA from 1 species
GACAGAGGGUGCAAACGUUGCUCGGAAUUACUGGGCGUAAAGCGCGUGUAGGCGGCUAAGUAAGUCGGGCGUGAAAUCCCACGGCUCAACCGUGGAAGUGCACUCGAAACUGCGUAGCUAGAGUCCUGGAGAGGAAGGUGGAAUGCUUGGUGUAGAGGUGAAAUUCGUAGAUAUCAAGCGGAACACCGGUGGCGAAGGCGGCCUUCUGGACAGUGACUGACGCUGAGACGCGAAAGCGUGGGGAGCAAACAGG